rnacentral:rRNA from 1 species
CCUACGGGAGGCAGCAGUGAGGAAUAUUGGUCAAUGGGCGCGAGCCUGAACCAGCCAAGUCGCGUGAGGGAUGACGGCCCUACGGGUUGUAAACCUCUUUUGCCGGGGAGCAACGGGCGCCACGUGUGGCGCCACUGAGAGUACCCGGAGAACAAGCAUCGGCUAACUCCGUGCCAGCAGCCGCGGUAAUACGGAGGAUGCGAGCGUUAUCCGGAUUUAUUGGGUUUAAAGGGUGCGUGAGCGGAUCAUUAAGCCAGUGGUCAAAUUGAGGGGCUCAACCCCUUCCCGCCAUUGAAACUGGCGAUCUUGAGUGGAAGAGAAGUAUGCGGAAUGCGUGGUGUAGCGGUGAAAUGCAUAGAUAUCACGCAGAACCCCGAUUGCGAAGGCAGCAUGCCGGCUUCCGACUGACGCUGAAGCACGAAAGCGUGGGGAUCGAACAGGAUUAGAUACCCUUGUAGUC